rnacentral:tRNA from 4 species
GGAGGGGUGGCAGAGUGGUCGAAUGCGGCGGUCUUGAAAACCGUUGAAGCGCGAGCUUCCGGGGGUUCGAAUCCCUCCCCCUCCGCCA